rnacentral:lncRNA from 1 species
CUUUGAUUGACAGGGCAGUCAAAUCACCGCCUGAUUGUGUGACUUUCCUCUCGUAAGGCUCGGGGGUGAGACUUGAACAACUUCAAUCUCUUGGAGCCUCUCAGGGAUCAGGCUGCUCCAUAUUCACUCUUUAAAAAGAUCGGCACUCAUUUUCCUUUAAAGUUGGGGUUAGUCUGCCUGAGUUGCAUACUAAUCGGGAGAAUGAAUUCAUUACCAACAGCUAGAUUAGGUUUUGCAGCUGCUGCGCCCGGGGAUCUAGUAAAGGCGGCAGCACGAAAAUCCUGUGCUGAUCAAGGCAGCCUGAAAAUGCAGUCCUGCGUGUUCUUCAGUAUUUACAGUUGGACUGUUAAGAAGGCUGAGCGCCGAAGAAUUGAUGCUUUUGAGCUGUGGUGUUGGAGAAGACUCUUGAGAGUCUCUUGGACUGCAAGGAGAUCCAACCAGUCCAUUCUGAAGGAGAUCAGCCCUGGGAUUUCUUUGGAAGGAAUGAUGCUAAAGCUGAAACUCCAGUACUUGGGCCACCUCAUGCGAAGAGUUGACUCAUUGGAAAAGACUCUGAUGCUGGGAGGGAUUGUGGGCAGGAGGAGAAGGGGACGACAGAGGAUGAGAUGGCUGGAUGGCAUCACUGACUCGAUGAACGUGAGUCUGGGUGAACUCUGGGAGUUGGUGAUGGACAGGGAGGCCUGGUGUGCUGCAGUUCAUGGGGUCGCAAAGAGUCAGAUACGACUGAGCAACUGAUCUGAUCUGAUCUGAUUGUAUUUCCUCCAUCUUUUACCCCCCUUUCUGUACCUUUUGCCUUUUUUUCCCUUGAUGCUGAAUUCAGAAUCAUUUAUCCUGUCUUGUUUCCCAAAUAUAAUGUAGGCAUUCAGUGAAUCUUAGUUGAAUGAAAUGAAAUACUGAACUUAAGAAAAGUUCUUACUAUAUGAGACUAGCUUUCUGUGAGAUAUACAACGUGAAAAAACUUCACCUGAUAUAAGGCUUUCAGUUUUAUGUUACAAAACCCCAGGCCUGCAGGAUAGAUGACUCAGUCAGGGUCACAGAGCUUGGUAGUAGUAUAUGUGGCCCCAGAACUCAGAUCUGACUUUAAAUGCAUUCUUCUUGCCACUUCACUGCACAAUUUCUCAUUCAAAUCCAAAAUAUUGUAAUAUGCAUAAUGACGAUAUGUAUACAAUAUUUUCUCUGUUUUCACUUAUGAGAAAUUACAUUGUUAUUUAUAAAACAAGUCUGUUUCCUCUCAAUGACCAGUGAUAAAUAAGGAAUUUGUAAGUGAUGUAGGAAAGGACCAGGAAGUCUUAAGAACUAAUCAAAGAGGGUUUUGAUAGCUUUAGUAAGAUAGUGACUUCCUAGUAGAAAGCCCUCAGGUAAAUAAACAGAGCGUCUUCUCGUUCA